AGACCUGAGCACAAGAGCACUCUCCCUCUCUGCGGUUUCCAGAAACUGGCAUUCAGAAGUGUACAGCAUCUGACUAUGCUGGAAGAGCACAGCCAUCAUGGCCAGUAGCCAUCGAUAGCCUGAUCCUCCAUGGAUUUGUCUAAUCCUCUUUUAAAGCCAUCCAAGGCUUCAUCAAAGCGUCUGCCGUGUGCAUUGUGGUAACACAGAAAAGAUACCAAUGAACUGAGAGCACUGGCAAGCUACGAGUCCUCUGAUUCCAGAAUUAGUUUUAGAAAUUCUUCCAGUUACACCAUCAUCAAUAGUAUAGUGACAAGCUUUAUUCUAUCAAUCAAUUACCCAGACUUCAAAAGGACCAUUCUUACAAAGCAACUAUCGUUGGACUGAACUGGAAAAGAAACAAAAAGGCGGCAGAGAGCGAGAGAAGAAGCUUCAAUCUAAGUGGAGGAAAAAUGGACAAGCAGAGCGAAGAUCCUAGUUGACUGGAGCACAAGACCAGCACUUUGCUACUGGCAUUUCCAACCAUUUCUUCUUCAUCUUUGCUUUUGGAAUCACAGUAUUUUAUCCCUGCCAUAAGCUGCUUUGGGGGUACUGCUGAAAAGCAUGGUAUAAAAUUUGGAAUGCAGGAAUAAAUGAGGGGGAGGGUGGAGGAAUACCCAAGCCAAAUGCACUGUGACAUCGAUUCAAAUGUCCUCCAAAAGAAUAGGGAGGUGUGGAUUUCUGAUGACCUCUGGCUCCUUGCUCACUCAAGUAGCCAUUCUGAUUUUCUGCGAGUACCUCCUUUGACGUGACACACAGCUUACGUAAAACACCACUUGUGUGAGAGGUUUUUUCCAUACAUCAGCUGGUUCCUAUGAACUGGCUGUAAGGAAAAGGAAAAACAUCAAAGUUUGUUGUUUUUGUUUGACAGGAUUAUAGGACAUGCCUAAACACACAUCCUCUGAUAAGUGACGACAAUAAGUAAUGUUUCUGCAAGUAUUUUUUUUUAAAGUACAAGGGACUAGAUCCUUUCAAUUAAUCUAAGCUGUUGAGCAUUAUCUAGCUAUCUGCUUAACCAUUGCUUAAUCUAUUAAAGUUGUUUCUUUAAGGGGCCACAAGACUUUUUUGCUGUUUCUUCUCCAUUAUGUAUUUUUUAAAACGUAAAAUCCUUCUUAUAGUCAGGUACUUUCAUAGGUAUAAACUUUAGGGGGGCUGUGGGACUCAAGCCCCCCCAGAUUUCCCUAGGGGGCUCAGCACCUGUCCUGGUCAGCCAGUCCCAGGCAUUAUUGACAGGCUCAUAUGAUGGACUCUGUUACAACAGCAGCUGCAACAAAGGACUGCUUAAUCUCUUGCGUGCCAAACUUCAGUUUCCAUGGUUGCUUGGUGCUUUGUUUGUUCAUGUGUUUGUUUAUGAAGGAUUUAGAUCCUGUCUUCAAGGGCCUGUGGUCCUCACAAGGUGACUUAGGCUGCAAUCCAAUACACACUUAUCUGGGAGUACGUCCCACUGAACCCAGUGGAUCUUACUUCUGAAUAGACAUGUAUUAUCUUGCAUCCUGAAACCUUAAGCCUGGCUCCACCCAUUUUCUUUGGAGCAACAGAUUACAAGGUCUCAGUUGGUCCCAGCAGACUGCAAAUCUGUAAAAAUGACUGAACUAGGUAAGUCAAGAGCCUCCAUAAUAUUAAAUAUAAAUAAAAUCUUCAACAUAUUUUAUAGGGACAAUAACAAUUUCGUCACAGUUGGGGGAGGGUGUCUCUCAGUCAUCAUGAAAAACAACAACACGUAAUCUGUGGGACUUUAAUGGCUGUUUUUAUUAUGGCAUAAGCUUUUGGAGGCCAGAGUCUACUUCAUAUACUUCUUAUAAUAACAUCAAAUUUUACAAUAAAGAAACAAUCAUGUUCAGUUUUGUUUUAGUCUAUGUGGAGUGAUGUGGCAACUUGAGAUGGUUUUGAAGCUAAGCUUUUGUGUUCCUGACCUGUGUUCAGAUCUGUAACUGAAUGGCCAGGAAGCUCACUGUUGUUAUAGGUUGGCAGGGUUGGUCUGGAUGAUGCCUUGGAUCCUCUUUCCCGCCUCUGAUUAUGAAUGUGUAUAGAUGGAGUUUGCAGAGAAACCUGCCAAUCUAGUCAAACCAGCUCCUUUAAUAA